rnacentral:rRNA from 1 species
AUUGAACGCUGGCGGCGUGCUUAACACAUGCAAGUCGAGCGGUAACAGGCGUAGCAAUACGUGCUGACGAGCGGCGAACGGGUGCGUAAUACAUGGGAAUCUGCCUAGUAGUGGGGAAUAACCCGGCGAAAGCCGGGCUAAUGCCGCAUACGAUCCACGGAUGAAAGCGGGGGACCUUCGGCCUCGCGCUAUUGGAUGAGCCCAUGUCGGAUUAGCUAGUUGGNGAGGUAACGGCUCACCAAGGCGACGAUCCGUAGCUGGUCUGAGAGGACGACCAGCCACACUGGGACUGAGACACGGCCCAGACUCCUACGGGAGGCAGCAGUGGGGAAUCUUGCGCAAUGGGCGAAAGCCUGACGCAGCGACGCCGCGUGAGGGAUGACGGCCU